rnacentral:rRNA from 1 species
GACGAACGCUGGCGGCGUGCUUAACACAUGCAAGUCGAACGAACAGGCCCUGCUUUUGUGUGGUGCUCGAGUGGCGCACGGGUGAGUAACACGUGUGUAACCUGCCCUUGACUUUGGGAUAACUUCAGGAGACUGGGGCUAAUACCGGAUAUGAUCUCCUGCUGCAUGUUGUGGGUUGGAAAGUUUCGGCGGUAGGGGAUGGACUCGCGGCUUAUCAGCUUGUUGGUGGGGUAGUGGCUUACCAAGGCUUUGACGGGUAGCCGGCCUGAGAGGGUGACCGGCGACAUUGGGACUGAGGUACGGAGCAGACGGGUAUGGGAGGCAGUAGUGGGGAAUAUUGCAGAAUGGGCGGAAGCCUGAGGCAGCAAUGCCGCGUGCGGGAUGACGGCCUACGGGUUGAAAACAGAUGUGGAAGGUGACGAAGCGUGAGUGACGGUAACGGAUAAAGAAGCACCGGCUAACUACGUG